rfam:Aedes albopictus isolate Foshan contig41759, whole genome shotgun sequence.
UACCCAGCAACUCCUAUCCCUACCUCCACGCGGUACCGGCCGGAAACUAUGAGCAACCUUAGGGAAGA